UACAGAGGGCCCAAGCGUUGUUCGGAUUCAUUGGGCGUAAAGGGUGCGUAGGCGGCGCGGUAAGUCGGGUGUGAAAUCUCGGGGCUUAACUCCGAAACUGCAUUCGAUACUGCCGUGCUUGAGGACUGGAGAGGAGACUGGAAUUUACGGUGUAGCGGUGAAAUGCGUAGAUAUCGUCAAGAACACCUAUAGCGAAGGCAGCUUACUGGGCUGUAACUGACGCUGAGGCACGAAAGUGUGGGGAUCAAACAGG
rnacentral:rRNA from 1 species